AUGCAGUGCAGCACCUUCAUUCAUCACAACUCUUUCUGUCAUAGAUUCCCUCUUUCCGUAUUCUUGAACUAUGUUUCAAGCUCAACGAUGCUGUCUUGUUUUCUGCUUUGCCAGUGUGACCUACUCAUCUUUUUUGGGCACAACCAGUGUAAUUUAUGUCAUAGCUACCUAGCUAGUGUUUAA